rnacentral:tRNA from 1 species
UGGUAUGUAGCUCAGUGGCAAAGCGCUUGCCUAGCAAGCGCAACGUCCUGGGUUCGAUCCCCAGUACCAA